GGAUAUAGCUCAGUUGGUAGAGUACUUGCUUUGCAUGCACAAGGACCUGGGUUCAAUCCCCAGCAUCACA
rnacentral:tRNA from 1 species